AUACAAUGGAGAGUUUGAUCCUGGCUCAGGAUGAACGCU
rnacentral:rRNA from 1 species